rnacentral:rRNA from 1 species
GUCUAUGGCUAUACCACCCGGAACAAGCCCGAUCCCAUUUGAUCUCAGAAGCUAAGCAGGGUUGGGCCUGGUUAGUUAGUACUUGGAUGGGAGACCACCUAGGAAGACCAGGUGCUGUAGGCA